GACGAACGCUGGCGGCGUGCUUAACACAUGCAAGUCGAACGGAAAGGCCCUGCUUUUGUGGGGUGCUCGAGUGGCGAACGGGUGAGUAACACGUGAGUAACCUGCCCUUGACUUUGGGAUAACUUCAGGAAACUGGGGCUAAUACCGGAUAGGAGCUCCUGCUGCAUGGUGGGGGUUGGAAAGUUUCGGCGGUUGGGGAUGGACUCGCGGCUUAUCAGCUUGUUGGUGGGGUAGUGGCUUACCAAGGCUUUGACGGGUAGCCGGCCUGAGAGGGUGACCGGCCACAUUGAGACUGAGAUACGGCCCAGACUCCUACGGGAGGCAGCAGUGGGGAAUAUUGCACAAUGGGCGGAAGCCUGAUGCAGCAACGCCGCGUGCGGGAUGACGGCCUUCGGGUUGUAAACCGCUUUCGCCUGUGACGAAGCGUGAGUGACGGUAACGGGUAAAGAAGCACCGGCUAACUACGUG
rnacentral:rRNA from 1 species